rnacentral:lncRNA from 1 species
CUAUCAGAGGACAAUGCGACUGAGGCGCGUGCACGAGUCGACCCCAUGUUUUUAUUUUCUCUCUCUUUGAACCUAAACACGCUUUCCCGGUCGGAAUAUUAUCGCUUUUUUACGAGAAAAAUGGCAUAAAAAUUGAUUUUAAACAGCGGUUGACAUGCUUCGAAGUACGGUAAUGGAAUAUUUAGAUGGAAUAUUUAUAAUUUUUUGUCACGAAAUGCAUCGUGCGCGUCACCCUUCUUUACCAUUCGGAUAGUGUCUUGAACGCACGAACAAAACAGAGGCUAUUUGAACAUAACUAUGGACUAUUUUGAACCAAACCAACAUUUGUUAUUGAAGUAGAAGUCCUGGGAGUGCAUUCUGACGAAGAACAGCAAAGGACCUGAGCCCUAGGACCAUGCCUCAGGACUACCUGGCAUGAUGACUCCUUGCUGUCCCCAGUCCACCUGGCCGUGCUGCUGCUCCAGUUUCAACUGUUCUGCCUGCGGCUAUGGAACCCUGACCUGUUCACCGGACGUGCUUGUUGCACCCUCGACAACUACUAUGAUUAUUAUUAUUUGACCAUGCUGGUCAUUUAUGAACAUUUUAACAUCUUGACCAUGUUCUGUUAUAAUAUCCACCCGGCACAGCCAGAAGAGGACUGGCCACCCCUCAUAGCCUGGUUCCUCUCUAGGUUUCUUCCUAGGUUUUUGGCCUUUCUAGGGAGUUUUUCAUAGGGAGUUUUUCCUAGCCACCGUGCUUCUUUCACAUGCAUUGCUUGCUGUUUGGGGUUUUAGGCUGGGUUUCUGUACAGCACUUUGAGAUAUCAGCUGAUGUACGAAGGGCUAUAUAAAUACAUUUUAUUUGAUUUGAUUUAGUCUACGAGACCAGGCUGGCAUGUGAGACCUUUGCCGAUAGACUGAUAGUUAAUAAUGAGUUAUCUAUUAAUGAAGCUAAAAGCCCCAGCUGCCUAUCAGAUCUCUGGUCUGAUGACUCUGAGCUCUUGUUGUUAUUUCAUCCUGGGAGUUUGGGACCACUAGUGAAUUGUAGAGGCACCGUUUGUACACAUACAAGACAGCUACAGUAUACUGUAUCUGGUCCUAGGCCCAUCAAUCUGACACAUACAAGUCAGCUACAGUAUACCUUAUCUGGUCCUAGGAUAUAGGAUAUAAUAAGGAUAUAAUAUGAACAUUGUGUCCAAUGGUAUGUGGGACAUUCCUGUACAUGGCGUCUAUUACAUUAUAAAUUAUUAGCAUGCACAUUUACCAAAACAAAUGCAGUGAGGUAUUUGUUUAGGGCGUUUUGUAUUCCCCCUAUGGAAAUAUGAAGAAACUAUGCCAAAUAAAGAGAAACAUGUUGUGAAAGUUUUUAAGAGCU